UACGGAGGGUGCGAGCGUUGUCCGGAAUCACUGGGCGUAAAGGGCGCGUAGGCGGCAUGCCAAGCGUGUGGUGAAAGCCCGGGGCUCAACCCCGGGUCGGCCGUGCGGACUGGCGUGCUCGAGCACUGUAGGGGCGGGUGGAAUUCCGGGUGUAGCGGUGGAAUGCGUAGAGAUCCGGAAGAACACCAGUGGCGAAGGCGGCUCACUGGUCCGGUACUGACGCUGAUGUGCGAAAGCGUGGGGAGCAAACAGG
rnacentral:rRNA from 1 species